rnacentral:sRNA from 1 species
GUGCGGCCUUAUUUUCAGGGUUGCGUCCUUGCCAAAAACUAUUCUAACGAUUCCGGCGCAGCCACGAUUUCCCUGGUGUUGGCGCAGUAUUCGCGCACCCCGGUUCAUCC